CAACUGAAUACUCUUUCAAGUGCCUGAUGAAGAUCAGGGUAAAAGGGAAUCGGGUGAAAAUCCCGAGCGAUCCGGUCACUGUAAACGGGGAGCAAACCGCAAGUGCCAUUGCCAUGCAGUCACUGCACGGUGAGAAGGCGCGGCGCGCUAUGAUCCGCAAGCCAGGAAACCUGCUUGAUUGGUAGAUGGAUAG
rnacentral:ncRNA from 22 species